UGCUGAAAGGGUCACUUUUUCUUUUCUGAAGGUGGAGUGUGCUGUGGACUUUGCAAAAAUUGCAAAACAGACCGACGGGUUCUCAGGAAGUGACCUCAGAGAGAUGUGUCGAGAUGCUGCUCUGCUUUGUGUGCGUGACUUUGUGCAUCAACAAAGUCCGGAUGAAGACUUCAUCCGUCCCAUCAGGCAGGAAGACUUGCAGAAGGCAUUGGAGAAGAUGAAGAAGUCCAAAUCUGCUUUAUUUCAGGAAGCAUUUAUGCAUGAUGUAAUACUAGGCUGAAUGUGAUGCUCCUGUUUUAACAUGAACCCAUGUCCUUGAUGUAUACAUGCACCAUGUCCUUGACCUUGACCUUUGUGGCAUAUUAAUAUAUCAUGAUUUGCAAAAGGGAAACUCAUUUAUAAAAAUUUAUAUAUCUAGACAAAUUCUGGUGCUUUUGCUAUUCAAUCAGUUAAUAAAACAGGGGCAGGACAAGUCUAAAUUGUGACAUUGCUGCAUUCAGUUCAAAGGAACAUGCUUACAAAACUUUGAUAGUUUAAGAACUAGUUACAAAGAAGUGUUUCAAGAAGCCUAUUGUAUUUAUCUGAAUUUGGAUUUCUUUACUGGUAUUGGUAAUUUGAGAGAUGUGCAAGAGUAUUUACAGUAUAUGCAUAGUUAUUUGCAUCCUUGCCAUGCCAUUUUGCGUUGAUCCAAUUUAAAUAUUUUAGUUUAGGGUGUUUCAAAUCCGCAAUAUGUGCUUCAUACACAGUCUAAUGACCUAACCAAAAAAUCCUAAAUUAUUGUAUUUAUCUUCAGUGUAAAUUAUGACUAAAAUUGCGUUACAGAUCUUAAAUGUCAAGUAUGCCUAAAAGUCAUAAUCACAUAACUGGAAUUGGACUUUAGACUACUUAAAACCUAAUACAACUAUGGUGAAGCUUUGUGGCAUCCAUCACUAUAGAGAGGGACUGCAGAGUGAUUGUGUCGUAUAUGUCUGUAAACUAAAUAAACCAACUGAUUAAAGGGAAGCUGCCUUUUUAAAUUAUAUUUCUGGUAAGUGAUCCUUUUGAUGAAUCAUUUAAUUUAUUUAAUUUCAGGUUUUAGUGAAUGAGGAAAUAUUGUUUCCUUUUUUUACUUUCUUUAUGUUGUUUCUUUCAAUCAUUUAUUAGUUCUCUUGAUUUACAUUACUUUUCCAUUAUGUUUGAGCAAUUCAUUUUUUUUUUUCAAUUCAAGUUUUACUGGGCAUUGAAAUGCAUGAAAUGCAAAAGAUGAGGUUUAAAAUGCAGGACAGUGUAAAUAGUAAAGACUUAAUGUACAAUUGAAUAAGUGAAUCAACAUCUGUUUCUGUAUAUUUGUCAUUUUGAAGUAAGUACUAUCAUCUUCAUGUCUUAGAUUUAUUUAUUUAUUUUUUAUUGAGGAGUUGCUCAAGUUCAGACCAUGAGGCAACCGCCAUGAUGAAGGCUCAGCUCAUGAGCUUAUGGGAUGGCCUUAAUACUGACUUCAACUGCUAGGUCACAAUAAUAGGAGCCACCAAUGAGCCACAAGAUCUUUAUUCUACUAUACUGCGGGGGAUGCACAAGAUUCCACAUCAGUCAGUCUGUAAGUUCAAUCAAAAUAUGUUUAUAUGGUUUAAAUUAAAUUUCUGCAUUUUCCACUGGGCUGAGUGGGAUGCUGCUGUUUUAAAGGGCUCAUAUGAUGUUGCUAAAAAGA